rnacentral:rRNA from 1 species
GACGUAGGGCGCGAGCGUUGUCCGGAUUUAUUGGGCGUAAAGAGCGCGUAGGCGGCCCGGAAAGUCGGAUGUGAAAACCCGGGGCUCAACCCCGGGCCUGCAUCCGAUACUCCCGGGCUGGAGGCAGGUAGGGGAGAUCGGAAUUCCUGGUGUAGCGGUGAAAUGCGCAGAUAUCAGGAGGAAUACCGGUGGCGAAGGCGGAUCUCUGGGCCUGUCCUGACGCUGAGGCGCGAAAGCUAGGGGAGCGAACAGG